GAUGAAGAACGUAGCGAAAUGCGAUAAGUAAUGUGAAUUGCAGAAUUCAGUGAAUCAUCGAAUCUUUGAACGCACAUUGCGCCCGCCAGUAUUCUGGCGGGCAUGCCUGUCUGAGCGUCAUUUCAACCCUCAUGCCCCUAGGGCGUGGUGUUGGGGAUCGGCCAAAGCCCGCGAGGGACGGCCGGCCCCUAAAUCUAGUGGCGGACCCGUCGUGGCCUCCUCUGCGAAGUAGUGAUAUUCCGCAUCGGAGAGCGACGAGCCCCUGCCGUUAAACCCCCAACUUUCCAAGGUUGACCUCAGAUCAGGUAGGAAUACCCGCUGAACUUAAGCGUAUCAAUAAGCGGAGGA
rnacentral:misc_RNA from 1 species